AUUGAACGCUGCGGCCGGCCUAACCAAUUCAAGUCGAGCGAGCGGCGGACGGGUGAGUAAUGUCUGGGAAACCGCCUGAUGGUGGGGGAGAACCACUGGAAACGGUAGCUAAUACAGCAUACCAUAAGAUGUGCCCAGGUGGGAUUAGGUAGUAGGUGGGGUAACGGCUCACCUAGGCGACGAGCCCUAGCUGGUCUGAGAGGAUGACCAGCCACACUGGAACUGAGACACGGUCCAGACUCCUACGGGAGGCAGCAGUGGGGAAUAUUGCGCAAUGGGGGCAAGCCGGACGCAGCCAUGCCGCGUGGAUGAAGAAGGCCUUCGGGUUGUAAAGUUCUUUCAGUGGGGAGGCGUUAAUCACAGAAGAAGCACCGGCUAACUCCGUGCCAGCAGCCGCGGUAAUUC
rnacentral:rRNA from 1 species